CAGAGUGAACGCUGGCGGCGUGCUUAACACAUGCAAGUCGAACGGUAACAGCAGUGCUUGCACUGGCUGACGAGUGGCGAACGGGUGAGUAAUGUAUAGCUAAUAUGCCCUUUGGAGGGGGAUAGCCACUAGAAAUGGUGAUUAAUACCCCAUACUCCUUCUUCUCACAAGAGUUGAUGGGAAAUCUUUUUUGGCCAAAGGAUUGGGCUAUAUGGUAUCAGCUUGUUGGUGAGGUAACUGCUCACCAAGGCUAUGACGCCUAGCUGGUCUGAGAGGAUGAUCAGCCACACUGGAACUGAGACACGGUCCAGACUCCUACGGGAGGCAGCAGUGGGGAAUAUUGGGCAAUGGGCGAAAGCCUGACCCAGCAACGCCGCGUGGAGGAAGACACCCUUCGGGGCGUAAACUCCUUUUAUAGCCGAAGAUU
rnacentral:rRNA from 1 species